rnacentral:rRNA from 1 species
UGCAAGUCGAGGGGAAACGAUAUUGGAAGCUUGCUUCCGAUAGGCGUCGACCGGCGCACGGGUGAGUAACGCGUAUCCAACCUGCCCACCACUUGGGGAUAACCUUGCGAAAGUAAGACUAAUACCCAAUGAUAUCUCUAGAAGACAUCUGAAAGAGAUUAAAGAUUUAUUGGUAAACGAUGGGGAUGCGUUCCAUUAGGUAGUAGGCGGGGUAACGGCCCACCAAGGCGACGAUCAGUAGGGGUUCUGAGAGGAAGGUCCCCACAUUGGAACUGAGACACGGUCCAAACUCC